GUAGGGUUAGUGAAUCAGCCAUCUGCCUAAAAAUUAAAAAUAAAACCAUCAUCCACCUCCAGAAGGGCUGGGUGCAACCACAGUGCUGAUGAAGAAGAGCGCUGGGACAACGCAGUCCCAUUCAGCUUGCGGGGACUCUGUCUCUGUCCCGUCCAGCUUGCCUGGCCUGCCUCAGGGUGUCCCAGGACUUCUCAAAGCUCUUUGUCUCCAUUUCCCAACAGCUCCAAACCAGGAAUCCGCUGCUGUAUGCUUUCCCACUUUUUCUCUCUCACUGCGGGUCUGGUCUUGCAGGGAACUAGGAAGAAAUUUCAGCUCUGUGGAAACCGUUGCACCGUGUCAGGAUAACCCUUUGGGAGACAGCAGCUAAGGACCUCCUGAUGCAGAGGCACUGGGCUGAUCGGACACUUCCAAAAGAGAUGAACCUGGGUCCCUAACAAAGAGUAUUCCAGGAGGGAGUCGAUGGUUUAAUAUAUUUUUUUUAUUUCCCAUGGUCCUGGUUGCCUCACCAGUCCACAGCCAAUGGUCAGAAAAGACUAUUUCAGUUUUCACAUCUCAGAAACUUCUGAAACAUUUCAGAAUUUCAUUUGCAAAUAACCCUUUUUCACUGCUUGAACAGCUCUGCAGCAAGGUGGCAGUAGCUGGAACAACAGCGUGACACAUCUAAUGAACUCAUCAUUAUUUCUAGCUGGUAAGCAGGAUUCAGAAGCCUCUCCUGCUCACCUGAUACACUCACUGAAGAACCACUUAUCUAAAGAAAUCUUAAAUGAUCUUCUGCAGCUCUGAACUUGAAAGAGAUGUAAUUCCUGACAGUACAACUGACAGUAUGCAUUUGCUGCCAUGGUCUGGGCAAGACUCCUGUUGCGAUGAACCGUUUCUCAUCACAGAAGAUGAUACAGCUGAGUGGGAAAGAAAGCUGACUUACAGAAUAAGCCUUCUGCAUUAUUCCAAGUAAAAUCAGAGCCAGAAGACUGCCACAGAGGUUCAACAUUCUCUGCUUGGAACUAGAACAAACAUUCGCCAUGGUAUGAGGUGUUAGGUUCUUUCUUUUUUCACUGCCACAAGAUUAAAUUCUUGCGUUGUUUUCACAAGAGUUAAUGAAUGAUAACUCCAGAGUCAUUGCAUUUCCCGGGCGCCAAAAAAUGUCAACGGCCCACCAGUUAUCUCAUCGGGGCCUAUUACUCAAAAGCUGCAGACCGAUGCUUACAACUCCAGCAUAAAAAGCUGCAGCUGCAAAUUUCUGGAGGAUCAGCUUAUACUUAUCCCCAGGGAAUGCCUGCCUGAACAUGCUCUAACAUGCAGGGUUCUGUCCUCUCUGCCACCGAUUCACAGCGUUCGCCAUUCUCUCUGCAGUGACAUAAUGGCCAUGAAGGAUGUUUUAACUGAUGUUGGGCCUGAAACAAGUCUCCCUCGUGUCUGUUUUGUGAAUUCAUUGGUCCAUUGCCAAGAAGAGUAUUUUUGCCAACAGAUAUCAAACUAGCUGAUACUGAAGCUUUUGAUUAAAAUGAACUUAGACCCAUCUAGCCAUAAUAACUAAAUAGUUAUUUUAGUGGUUAUUAUGUCUUUACUGUGAGACAUCUUAUCAUAGAGGCAGAUUGCAUGAAUCAAAGUAAUUGUACGUUGUGGAGACUGGCAAUGACAACUUCAGCUGCCAUCACUAGACAAACUUCUCUUCCGAGCUGUUGUGUAAAAUAUGGAGUGAGAGAAAAUCUCUGUUGUGGCUGAGGCACUCCGACUGAAGAAUUUCUGUCUAGCGUCUGCGCUCUUCCCAGCAGUUCUCUCCUCAGUGAUUAUAUCUACUGCUUCAUUUAAAAAAAAAAAAAAAAGAUACAGAACAUCAAAGGAUUUCUUUGUAUAAAGCUGAAAAAUUAGAAAAACGACAAAUUAAGAGUCUAACCUCUUAGAUCCAAAAAAAAAGCAGUUCAGCUUCUCCACUUAUCAUCACCUUUAAGUCAAUCCACAGCUGCAGUGGAGUUGAAAACUCCUUGCUUCUCGGGUUGCAGAUUACAGUCAGGACAUGAACUUUGCCUGGGGCUGAGGCUUUCAGCUCAUCCAGACCCUUGUCUCUGUGGUGCAGGACCUGGAAGCCCAGCAGGGCCCAUUUCCAAGGCAAUCUGAAUUUGGCCGCCUCACUGGAGCGCAAACGGUGUAACGUGGGUUACAACCGUACUGUGGUGGACACCUGAGUUGGGCAGCUCUUGGCUGAAGUUUUUAUGAAGUGAAUGGAUGAGGCUGAGAAAGAAAAAGGAAGGAAUCAGUGGAAUCAAGAAGCGAGCUGACCGCUCAAAAGGUCAAACACUUGGAAACAAAUCUGAGGUGACAGAGAAGAGAAAUAAGCAUGCAUAACCCAGGAGCUUUUAAUGAAUUGGAAGCACUUAAUCAAAUCAUCAAAACUAGGAGCCUGCUUACUCUGUAUCCUGGAGAGGAACUUCCAAAGGAUGCUUCGUUGUCCUGCAGAUCUGAGGUGGGAGGAAGAGAAAGAAGAGGAAAGCUAACAGGAGGAUAUGGAAAAUUACAACCCUGUCCCAAACUUAAGCAGAACAAAAAAACUACAACUGAGAAAGGUGUUGAGAAGUCACAGAAAUACAGAGAGAUCUCGUCAAGUGACAAUGCUCACCCUCCUGUGUUUUGCCCAAGGCUGGGCUUUGACUGCAGCCCUGCCGUCUCCAGCUGGCAGAAGGCGGCCCACGGAUGCACACGUGUCUGUGCUAACACUUGCCACCCUGGAGACUACAGCAGGGCUCGAAACAAAGACCCAUAAGGCUGGAAACUUGAGUCUGCCCUAAGACUAAAGGUGGCACCUGUCAGGGACAGACGCUUUCUGCGGCAGCGGCAGAGGGAAGAGCCCGGCAGCCCCUGCAGACCAAGGCCUUGCACGGUGCAACCUUAUUUGUGCUCCCUGGUCCCAGGGGGCUACACAGUUUGGAAGACGUAAUUCUUCACUUUGUGAAGAAGGAUGGUCGAGGGAUCAGAAACAAGACAGAGCCAAUAACUUAGUUGAGACUAUGAUCAGCUUACAUUUAUCUCCCUCUGCACCCUGCUCCAGCUUUUUUCUGAACUGGUUCAGAGCACUUGCAGUCAGAAUCUCCAGGUAUCUCUCUCUCUUUCUCCAUGCCAAGGUAUAUUUCGCAAUUACAUCGCACAGGGUUAGUACAUUUUUCUAAUGAGAAGAGGUGCUAUGAAAGCUUUUAUGUUGUUUUCUUUUUUAUUUGGUUAAUACACUUAGUGUGUGUGAAUGCGCGCCUGUGUAAUGUUUUGUUAAUGUGACAUUUAUUCUCCCUUCCUUCCAGCCCCUCCUCAAGCAUGUCUGCAAAUCAAUCUGGUUUUGUGUUUAAUGCAAGUUAUCAAUCAUCUUUUCAUGAGCAAAUGGUUUCAUAUUAAGGGGAAGGAAACAUUCUAAUGUAUUCAUUCUAUUAUUGUUCCUUGGAAAAGAUCCAGAUUUGCAAUAAACCAGUGAUUGGAAAUGCACAAAGUAUUUUAAUAUCCUAAUUAUUUUGAUUUAACUUCCUCUAAUAGUUUAAAUUGAUACUGAAUUUAUUUAGAAGUCAUUACAAAGGGAUUCCCCCCGCCCCCGCCAAGUAGUUCAGAAACACACACCGAACUGAAGCUGAAGACAAAAUACAUUGUUCAUAUUCCGAGCUGCCAAUGGUAUGCAAAGGGAAAGCUUUUGUAUGAGAAAGCCAGGUGGAGGGAAACGGGAAAAAAAAAAAAAAGCAAACAAUGCUGCUAUAUAUACAUUCAAUUAUUAUUUAAAAAUUCAUCUGAUUGAUUUAAAAAAAAACCACAUUGAUACAAUGGCAAUUUUUCUGUCUUCAGGAGAUGAUAAUCAGACACCCACUGACUUCCUACAUUGCUGGCACUGACACAGAUUUGACUACAUGAAAAGAACUACUCAAAAAUUGCAUCUCUUCCUGCGUAUUUUAUUUUUUUUCCCUGCUAUCUGCAUUUUUACCUUACUGCUGCAGUCAUGCUUUGCUCUUUUCACAUAAAUUUCAUCCAAGGUCUUCACAGGAAUGCUUUGCUCACGUCCAGGAUUUCUCAGCAUGCUGUCACUGCCUGAAGGGACUGAGAAGGCUUUAAAGUGAUAACGCUUGGCCCUCCAACAGAUCCCGCAGAAACCUUAGACACCAUCCCUAGAAGGUUCACUGCUGCCAUAAAGGUCCAUGGGACACUUUUGCGUAGGUACCAAGAGCUUCGUAAGGACUUCGUACAAGCAUGAUAAAUGUUAUUGCCAGGCUCUUCCUGAGGUGUAGAUAGAAAGAGUGUCAGUCCUGGUGUCCUAAGUCUUUUCUAGGUCUUUCAUGGCUCUAGAGAUAUCAGUAAAAGCUACUGACAGGAUCAGUGGUCUGCCGUGCUCCUCAUGCUACUGACCCAGUAAGAAGCCAUCCUUGGCUUGACGAGCUGAUGGCUCCAGGCCUGGAUCCCCAGAGAGACUUUGGACUACAGCAAGCAAAGCUGCCACUUCUCCAUUUAAGGGUCUUAUUCCAUUAGUUGACUGACCUGUUCAAUCAAUUCCUUUUCAAUCUCCCUCCAAUAAGAAGUUACUACAGUUUUACAUCCUUUUGACCCUAACAGAACCAAUGGCAUCACAUUAGCAUAAAAUCAAAGCAGCGCGAGACUGAAAAAAAAGAGAAGUGAAAAGGAUCUCUACAAUAAGAAUUUAUGCCCCAUGAUCAUUUUGAAUAUGACUGUACCUUGACAAUAGCUGUUGCCUGUAAACGAGCAUCCACGGAUACCACAUUACUUAUGAAGCAAAUUCAUGAUGACACAAGAGUUUCUCAAAAGAUUUGGCAGAGCCUGGCUCAUUAAAUUAAUUUUGAAGUGCUAAUUUGGCACCAUUUUUUUAAUGCACAUUAAUUCAUGAUAUAAAUUUUGACAUGUUCAGAUGUUUAAAAAAAGUUUAAACGGCAUUGGAAUUUGAGAAAUGUACUUUAUAUAAAUAUACUAUGAUUAGAAUCACCAUGCUUUACUGCUUUAUUUAGUUGCAAGUGAAGAGAUGAGUGUUUCGUGUCAUGCUAUGUCAUUUUAUAAGAGCAUGUAAAUGAAGUCCUUGAAACUAUUUAACUGUAUCAUCUUGCCACCUAGCUUUAGGGCAAAAAUCGGUACUGUUUGCAUUAGCUUACCUCGACAGUGAAUGGUGUGAGUGGAAGAAAUAGUCAUUUUUGAAAAAUAGUCAGGAAUGUUCUCCAUGCUGAAAGUACCGCAACUCCGAGUUAGCCAAAAACAAUCAUGAGGCACUACUCAAGACUUCUAGAGAGAAACCAGCUAUUGUUGUAUCCUUUCUUUUGAAUUACAUCUGAUUUUAAAGUGAUUAUUCUGAAGAUAUGGAAUUUGGGCUUUGGCCUAGGAAAUUCAAGAUCUUGAUCCUGAAUUUUAUGACCUGGAGUACUCUGGAGAUGGGGUAUGCGCUGCUCUCUUCUUUCUGAAACAGAACCACUCCACACCCUGAAGUGCAAAAUUUGUGGUGGGGGCAAAUAACAGGAAACCUGACUGUGAAGGCCAAUGCAUAACACACGCAGCUAGGACAUGGGUAAUCUGGAUAUUUUCAUCCCUAUCUAACAAAAUAAUAAAGAAGGGGAACUAGAAGGCAAAUCGUCCACAUCCUUCAUGCAUGCAUUAGUCAGCAAGGUGAAGAGUAGACUGUACUAUUAAACAUUUGGUUUAUGUUUGUACCAGCAUUUGCAAAACUUUCUUAGACAGCUCUUCCUGCAUCGGCGUCUUGCUCCAGGACUUUGGCAGCAUUUGGGCAGCACUAGGCCAUGCUGCUUCGGUCCAGAUCACGCUGGCAAGAUCUAUGGGCCAAAUCAAUGUGCUCCUGUAUACGUGCAGUGCUCACACAUAUGCACAUACAAAGGACUCUUCUUUUUUAAGUUGUCCAGGGGAGCAGCCUGUAAGCUUUGAGGUGCUUGGGCAAUAAUUAGCCAUCACCCAUCUGGACCAUGGAGUGGGGUUAAAACACACCUAAAUCCAUUUUAGAUGGUAUUCCUGCAUUCUGGAUUUUGUCAUGACUAUUCCUUUGUCUCUGAUGCAGUGAAGGGAGCAAAGUAUAAUUUGCUGAUGCUGUGAAAGCCAGCGAUGGUAGACUAGGCUGAUCACAAUGCCAAGGCGUUUAGUCCAGCAGUGAUAACCUAGGGGGUUUUGUAUAUUUAUCUAGCUAUCUACCUGUCAGAUAAGCAAGUCUAUGGGUAUCUGUAUUUGUUUGAACUACUGAGCUAUGAUCUAAGUUUUCUAUUGAUGCAAUCAUCUUUUCCUAGGUCACCGAAUAUUUUCUGAAUGCCUCAAGAUGUUUUAACUCAGUUUCCUAAUGCAAAAUGUUCCUCCUUUGAAAUAAUCAGGGAGUUGGAGUGUGUCUUUGUCCCUCUGUCCAGUCCUUUAUAAGAUGUGACUAAUAAUUGCAGUAUUUUCCUUUGACUGUUGUAGCAACGCCUCAUCCACUCCACAUUCUCUUUGAAGUAAUACACCCUCACAAAGGAGGUCAUUUCAGGCUUUCUUUUUUAAAACUACUGCCUAUCUAAAAAAGUUGCUAGAUUUUACCGGUGUCACAUUUUCAUCAAUAAAAAAGAUGGAAGCCACUAGAAAGUCUCUAGCCCCUGCAAGACAUGGUCCUGAAGAAAGAGAUGCCUUUGAGUAUGCAUGAGUGAGUCAAAACAAGUGAUUCGGUGUCCAGGAGGGUUUCUUUUUAGAUGCACAUUUGUAGCUAAACAGGAGCCUUGUGGUUCUCUCUUCAGCACUCCCCUUCUGUACUCGAAGCAGUUUCCCUCCUCGGAGGAGCGAGCUUGAAGCUACUCACUGGAGCAUCAUUUAAAGCAUCCCGCCUUCAAAGCGAAUGUAAGGUUCUCCAGAUGGCAGCAGUUAUCCUGGCCUGUGGAAAUGGGAUGCACGUUUAUGGUCUUAGAACCAUAGAAGAUGACAGCAAAUGUGUUUCACCAGUUAGCAGUGUAGCUGUAUAGUAUGUACACCCAUAAGAGAUUUCCAACUGGAGUUGUUUUUUAACUCAUUUAUACAGCAAGCAGUUGUAAUUCCUUUCCAAAAAGAGUCCUUGGAUGCAUGCCUAAAAUAAAUUUCCAAAUCCCUCCAUCAGACUAUUCCUCCCUCUCUUGUCUCUGCCCCUCCUUUUCUUUAAUAAUAAUGGAAACAAUUUGCAUCGUAAGCCAAACACAAUUUUCUUGUGUUAGGAAGAAAAUAAUGUUGCAAACUGAGUAAAGUAAAUGAAUAGUGCAUGAACUGCUGCCAUCUCUUGGUUAUAUUCAUCACUCCAAGUAUUCUGGGUGUAUUCAUCUAAAUCAAGAAUAUUAGGGCACAUCAUAGUGUUAUUUUCCCUUUCACCUCACAUCCAGCCUCGCAAACACAAAACAAGACAUCAUUUAAUUAUUUUUUUUCUGCUGCUGCUGCUGAAAUUGUCAGUUGUAACUAUGAAGGUAAUGUUUAAAGAUCUUUAUUAAUAUUCUCUGUGUGCUUAAGCUAGGUCCUUCAUCUUACUUUUCUGGGUUUUAGUUUUUGUUUUAUUUUAAUCUCUACCUUUGUUAAGAUUCCAAGCAUUCAGUUGUAAUUUUCGUACUACAACAGAGCUGGCUUUAUUACAUUGGCAUUCUGAUAAUGAAAAGCAUGAGGACAAAUGAAGGGAAGGGCAGCGGCAGUGAGGAAUCACAUCUGCCUAAGUGAAACAAAAUGAAUUUCCAAUAUAAUUUUUUUCCAUGUUUAAAGAAUAACACACUAAUUUUAUGCCUUAUCCAGAUGUGUACUCUGAUUAGAAGCUCGUUGAAGGCAAAACUCCAGUGCACUUCAAAAGCAUUUGGAUAAUUUCCGGUGAAAAUCGUCAGAUUUCUGUUGAAGUUGUCAGUGAAAUGACAUUGGUUUUUCCCACCCAAUACCAUUCACCACAAUUGCUGCAUGUUUAAUCAGUUCCUGCUGAUUUCAGUGGGACAUCAAUUGACCUUUUCUAGGUCAAUUGCAAUGUGUGGACAGCUAAAAUAUCCUGUCUGAGCAGUCAUUAGAUGCCCCCUAAAUGAUGAUAUGGAUGAUGAAUGGGAACAAAAUCCUGGCAAUCUCCCAACGACAGCCACAGAGGCAGGAUUUUUGCCUGUUCCUCACUUUUUUCCCAGCCCUUGGUCCCGUUCCCGUCGGUGUCACACUCGCUUGUUAACACGUUGCUGUAUCCGUACCUCACCAGACCCUAUGGCUGCACCACAGCCCCUCACUUCAGGCUGCAACAGAGAAGGAUCAGCAAUUUGUAUGGAAAAUACAAAUGCAGAAGGUCUGAGAGCAACCUAAUUAAAGCACUCCUGAGUUAAGCCAAAGGUUACAUUAACACCCAGGCUAUAAUUAGCAGAUCCUCUCACGUUGCGGAGUGAGGAGGCUUAUCCAGUCUGUCUGUUGGAGCAGAAGCAAUUGGGAACCGCCAUGAACGUGACAAGCAGUCGCUUGCCGUGUCCUACUGAAAAGACUUUGUUGAACUGAGGCCUUACAAAAAAGUUUUUUUUAUCUGGAAGACCAGAAAUUGCUUGGUCUUCCCUCAGCCGGUAAGAGACAGCCAGUCACGGCCGAAGAUCUCUUUCCUAUGGGAUGUACGUGACUCUGCAGUUCUGGAACCGACGACUCUUUUGUCUUUCUUUUUGUUAUCAUGACUAAAAAGUAUAAUUAUAUACAAACUCAGCUAAAACCGCCGGCAUUAAGUUUGAAAGGCCUUCUAGAAAGGAACAGCGUCACCCUGCGUGGCAGGUUUUGCUUCACUGGUUUUUUAUUCGCGAGCUCGUUACAUGACAACUUACCGCAGCCUGAUUUUCUUACUCGCUGACGUGAUUAAAGCACUAUCACCCCAGAGACUUCUUGUUUGCCAGCACGUAUCACCGCAACCCUCUCGGCUUCCUCCAAAGCGAGGGCAGAGGCCUGGCGUGCUGGAAAUUUGGCAGGGUGAGGUUUGAUCUCAUUUCAUAAUGGAGACACUCUGUUUUCUCUCUCUCUUCGGGGUGCUGAACUUUCUUCCCGAUGACUUGAUUAAAGGAUUAAAAAAGAAAAAGAAAAAAAAAAAAAAAAGCAGCGUGGUGAUUCUGAUGUAGAAAAGCACAAUAUAUACCAUGAAAAGCGCCAUAAAGCAAUGCUUCACCCUCAGAGCGGUUCAGAGAUAGGUAAAUAAAGUGCUUUGAGCGACACUGUUCUGAUGAGCAGAUACUGGCCAGAGUGAAUAUGAUGUAUCGGCAUAAAAAUAGGUUGAAAAGCCACUGUAGAAGUACAAGUAGGACCAUCCGUGCUCAGAUCCUGUUACUUAAGCAGUGCUUUUAUCAUACCGCUUAGUGCAGCGUCACCUCCCGGAUGGAAGGAUUUCUAUGUCGAAUUUGUGGAACAAUUUAUCGGUAGGCAGUCUGCCUAAGGAUGCAGAAUUUGUAGUGAUUAUUGUAGCCUUUUCCUUCCCAAUGCCCUGCUCACAAGAGAUUACAUGACAUUGCUCCAAGAGCAGGGAAACAGCCUUCAUAAGCAAAAAAAUCAUUUUUUCCAGACUAUAUCUUAAUUUUUUAUUUUUAUUUUUUACAAAUCCAGGACAUUUUAAGAAAGCCCAACCUUAGCUAGAAGCGUGUGAAUUCAUACUGACAGAUUCCUUCUGGAUGCGAAUACCUACAGUUUAGCUUCCAAAUUGCUCUUCCGCUGUUUGUUUGUUUUUUUUUUCCUACCCUGUCUUUAGACUAAAUGGAAAAAAAUGUUAUGCCAUUACCAUUUGCGUUCAAACUCAGACAAGUCCUGGUGGCUUCCAGACCUGCUCCAGGGACUCAUCUUUCCUGCGUAGCUGCAGCGGUAGAGGAAGGGGGAGCGUUGUGCUCUUGUUCGUUAUCAGGUUAUUGAAUGAGGUUUCUGUCAUGAGAAAGCUCUGCAGAACCCUGUAGAAUACUUUUUUAUUUUCUCGCAUAAUUCACUUUCUUCUGAAAGUGAAUCUUCAUACCAAAAAGACACGAGUGCUUUAAUUAAAAAUAGAUGUCUUUCUGAAGGAAAUUUCCCGGCUCAGCCAGACAUCACCAAGCUCAAAGCGGGAAUUGGACUGAAAUUUUCUGGUUUGUGGUUUAUCAGUGCUCAAGACCCUUGGUCACUCCAUCUUCAUUCUCUCUUUGCUGGCUGGCAGCAGAAGCAGGCUGGGAAAGGGGAUGCCAGCAAGAGCUGGUGCCUCAUGCCCUGACUGCCCUGGUGGGUAAGUCCGAAUUCAGGAGGAUCCUGGGUUGCCUACAAAGUCCACCUGCCGUAGGAGCAUCUUUACAAAAAGGCCUUUCUUGAAAGAACCUUGGACCAUCCUUUCUGGCUGAUGUCUUGUGGUAUAACCACAACUGGAGAUGGAAUGGUUGGGGGAAACAGAGCAGCCAUACAUGGGAAAAAUGAAACUGUGGGAACUUAAUCUGCAUUUCCCUUUGGCUCCCACAUCGAAGCAGAUGUGACCCCAGAGCGCUCCACAGCAGAUCGCUGCGUCUGCAGGGCUGCAUGGACUCAUCCACGGGGGUUUCCCCACCCUACUGCCUGCAGCACUGAGUUCCAGAAGAUUCCUGCUAUGGUUCAUUAUUUUGGAAAAGAUCUCAGACUGAAAAUAAACUGGUUUGCUGCACUUCAAAGUAGCGGAGAACGGUCUGGACAGACUCAUGUGUGCUCUGCUGGGCCCUCUGUAGCAAACACGGGCGGCUGCUAGGAACACCUCAGCAAUAGAAAUAGACAGAUUUUUCACUGUUGUUCUUCUCUGGUGAAUAAAAAAGCUCAGUGAGGAGAAAUAGAGAUGAUCCACGCCAGUGAAACCAACGUAUUCAAAUCUAAACUGAAAAAAAAAACCCCAAACCCAUUGAAGAAAACUCCUGUCAGAAUUUCCCUCAAAUGAGUGGACAAUGGGGUUUCUCCGCUCCCUAAAACCUAAUUCUUUGAAAAAUUUACUAUUCAUUGAAAGACAUAAGACCAGCUUGGUCUCCCAGCAGUGAUGGAGCAUUUGUGAAGAGCAAAGAUACAGAUGUUGCUGAUCAUGAGCUGGGUACAGUGACGCAAUGAUGCGAACGGGGCUUAGCGCUUGCAGUCUGUGGGCAAAUGAAGGAUGCCAGUUUCCAAGGUGGCCAAGUGCUGAUUUAGCUUUUAGAUAAAUAAAUUAAAA